GAACAAAAAACUGUGAACGAAUGUGUCAGUCAGAGGGAGGUGGAAUUCUUCUUGCUUCUUCUCCUUUUUAUUCUUCUUCUCUUUCUACUUCUUCUAUUCCUUCUACUUUGGCUGCUUUUUCU
rnacentral:ribozyme from 13 species